AGUGUUGCCCAGCUCGCAAGAGUCGGUGUCUUGUUGUCGGUAGUUGGUUCGUGGCGGCUAGCGUUUAGUUACGCUAGUGUGUGUGACGUCGGUGUGAAAAGUACGACGACGUUUCCGACCCGUCUUGAAACACGGAUUGCGGAGUGCUUGUCUACUGCGAGUCAAAGGGUGUCAAAACCUUGCGGCGUAAUGAAAGUAAAGGUCAGUCUCGAAUUGGCCGACGUGGGAUCUGUGCUCUUCGGAGUGCUGCGCACCACGGCCCUAUGCGUGUCACUUGUGACUGUGUAGAGGUUGAGCAGUUGGCAAACGACCCGAAAGAUGGUGAACUAUGCCUGAGCAGGAUGAAGCCAGAGGAAACUCUGGUGGAAGUCCGUAUCGGUUCUGACGUGCAAAUCGAUCGAUAGACUUGGGUAUAGGGGCGAAAGACUAAUCGAACCAUCUAGUAGCUGGUUCCUUCCGAAGUUUCCCUCAGGAUAGCUGGAUCUCUGGCAGUUAUAUUCGGUAAAGCUAAUGAUUAGAGGCCUUGGGGGCGUAAUGCCCUCAACCUAUUCUCAAACUUUCAAUGGAUAUGAAGUUGCAGUUUCUUUAGUAGAACUGUCAACGUGAAUGCGAGGUCCAAGUGGGCCAUUUUUGGUAAGCAGAACUGGCGCUGUGGGAUGAACCAAACGUGGAGUUAAGGUGCCUAACUUCUCGCUCAUGAGACCCCAUAAAAGGUGUUGGUUGAUAUUGACUAGCAGGACGGUGGCCAUGGAAGUCGGUACCCGCUAAGGAGUGUGUAACAACUCACCUGCCGAAUCAACUAGCCCUGAAAAUGGAUGGCGCUUAAGCGAGAGACCUAUACUCUGCCGUUGCGACAUGUGCGUUGUCUAGCGCCAGGUUGUAACGAGUAGGAAGGUCGUGGCGGUUGCGUUGAAGGCUAUGAGCGUGGGCUCGGCUGGAGCUUCCGUCAGUGCAGAUCGUAAUGGUAGUAGCAAAUAUUCAAGUUCGAUCCUUGAAGACUGAAGUGGAGAAGGGUUCCACGUGACAGUAGUUGGAUGUGGGUCAGUCGAUCCUAAGGUACUGGCGAACGCCUUGUAUCAUCGGUGGCGAAAAGCUUGCUUUGGUCCCCGUUUUGUCGAA
rnacentral:ncRNA from 1 species